rnacentral:misc_RNA from 1 species
UUGAAUUCCAACCGGGUGAGGUUGUGCUGGCCCUCACGGGUAUGUGCACGCCUUGCUCAUCAACCUCUCACACCUCUGUGCACCUUUCAUAGGAUGGCUUGCGGUGGUUGAUUUUAUAUCAAUGGCUGCAGUUGUUCUGUGCUUUACAAACUUUGAAACUAGUCAAGAAUGUUUAUUGUGUGUAUACACAUUUUAAUA